rnacentral:lncRNA from 10 species
GGAAAUUUAUUACAGCAGUUAAGAGCCCUGGGUCUGGAGCAAAACUGCUGAGGUUUGAGGCCCCGUUUUGCUGCUCACUAGCUACAUGAUCUUGGGCAAGUUAUUUAAGCUCUCUGAGCUUCAGUUUCUUCCUCUGCAGAAUGGGGAUGAAAGUGGACUACUACCUCAUGGCAUGUUUUGAGGAUGAAAUGAGCUAAUAAACACAGUCUUCAGCCCUACAUUAGGAUGGCCUAAGGAAAACAAGAAGACUGAAUGAUAUUCCCUGCUGACUUAUAUAAGUUAUUAGUCUUCUAGAAGGAUCACAAGGAACCAGCAUCAAAGAAAUGGAAUCCAGCUAAUUCCCCCAAGAAACUGAAGUUUUCGGGACAUGACUUGUGAAAGGCAAACAUAAGCUGACAUCUUUUCACACUGAACAGCAAGAGCCAAAGUGUAUCCGAAAAGCCAUUGUCAAAACAAGGAGUGAGAACAGCUGGGGUCAAGACCUAAUGAAGGGCAUCACUCAGCCUCUUUGAGCCUCGGAUUCCUCAUUUGUAAAGUGGGCAUAAUAAUACCUCACAGGGUAGUUAUGAGGGCAAAUGAGAUAAUGGACACGAAGGCACCUGUACACUCCACGGUGCUAUCAGAAUAUUGACUAUUAGUGCUUUCAUCACGCGGCUCCAUCCAAACCCCUGCUUUCCCUCACUCCAGCAACCUGGCGGUUCCCCGCUCCAGGGAGGUCACCCUCUUGAUGCUGAAUUUAGCACGGACACCUGAUGGGCACAGUGCACUGCAGCCCAGAGCUCCUGAGCUCAAGCCAUCCUCCUGCCUCAGCCUCCAAGUAGCCAGGACCACAGGCACGCACCCUGAGGAGGAAGAAAUACCAGGUGCGCAUGCUCCAAGAAAAAGCCAUCUGAGGACGCGGCAAGAAGGCCGCCAUCUACAAGCCAAGGAGAGGGGCCUCAGGAGAAAUCGAACCUGUCACACCUUGAUCUUGGACUUCCAGCCUUCAGAACUGUGAGAAAGUAAAUUUCUGUGUUCAAGCUACCAGGUCUGUGGGAUUUUUUAUGGCAGCCCUAGCAGACUAAGACAGGCAUCAAUGGUUCCAAUGUUUUCAUUUUUUUUCCGGUAAGCAGACCGAAGCCCAGAGAGAUGAAGCAAUUUGCCCAAAGUCACAUACCAAGUUAACUGAAGAGUUGGGGUUAGAAUCCAGCUCUUGUGACUUCUCUCUUUUCAGUUUCCCUUCCCACUCCCCCCACUGAAAAGCUUUUGAGUGACUCUUUUAGAAAUCCCGGUUCUGUAUAUGAAGCAGAAUUGAGCACAGCUGCUCUAAUGAAGGGCUCAGAGCUCCCAGGCUUUUCUCUCUCCCCUGCCCCUUUUCCCUGUUGCACCUCUGCAGUGUCCUGAGGGUUGAUGGAAUCUAGUUUGAAAGCUAUUGCUCUACCUCACUGCCUCCUGAAUGCAAUGUCACAAAUUUUCCCAACUUGCCAUUUCUCUCACACUGACAUAAAGCAUUAGAAACCUGUUGUGAAGUAGGAAAGCUAACUGGGUCAGUAGCUGAUAAGAUAAUCUGGCCUAGGGGAUAGAUGAUUAGGAUUUCAGAGAAGGAAAGGUCACCCAAUUGAUUUGACUCUGUCCUGGGGCGAUGAUAUGGUGAAGAUUUCUACAGAUGCAGCAGAAACAUCCGGAAACCAGGUGUGUCCCAGCUCUGGUCUGGGAACCAUUUCAUAAAUUGGCAAAUAUCCAGGAUAUACACAUGGCUAAUUCUGAGGUGUACUGAAGUUUCAAUAAAGCUACUUUGGUAAUGACUAGGAGAAGAAAAUCCUAUGGCUGGACUUCAUUAAUGUUGUAUGGCCAAGGACAGUGUUUCUCUAAUUAUGGCCUGUGAACCUCCCUGGAUCUCGAUCACCUGCAUAUUUGGGAAUAUGCAGGUUCCAGGGUCCCACCUGAAACUACAGAAUCAGUAUUGAGAUCCCAGGUGAUUCUCAUGUACACUCAAGUGUAAGAUUAUUAGCACCUGGACUUUGGAAGCAGCCAGAUAAAAGUUUGGAUCCUGGGUUGGCUACUUCCUAGAUGUGGCCAAGUCAUUUUACUUGCCAUGCUUUUGCUUUUCUUGUCUGUAAAGUGGACAUGAUACCUAUUUUACAGGGUGGUUUUGAGGAAUAAGGUCAGCAUUAAACAUUUAUCCUCUUUAGGGAGACAGAGAGAGGAGAUGAAAUAGAGUAGAAUUGAGAAAAGCAGUUUCUUAGACCUCCCUGUGAAGUUUUUCUUAUUUCAACAAAUAAUAAAAUAAAAAAUUCAUACACUUUCUUAGUGCUUGUUUGGACUUAAGAAUUUAAAAAUAACUUGAGAGUUUUAUAGGCAUCAAGGAUGAUGUCUGAGUGCUGGAAAUACUUGACCUUUGGCUGGAAGGUGGAGUGAAGGUGCCAGCGGACUGAACCCUGGGAGACUGUCUUCUGUUUUAUGAAUGUGGUCAUGCUCUGAGUUAAAUGAUGUCCCUGGUAAGGACAUCUCCCAGAAAAGCUUAGAAAUCAGCUGUAAUCCUUGUUCCCUGCAAGACCCUUGACUUGGAUGUUAAGAGUUCCCUAUAAUGAUAAUAGCUACCUUUACUGAGCACUACUUGUUAGCCAGGCAUUGUGCUAAGUGCUUUAUGUGCAUUAUGUUAUGCAAUCCUGCAAAUACCGUUACGGGGCAGGUAAUAUUAUUAAUGCUAUUUUAACAAUGACAAAAGUAACUCACUGAUUAGGACUCUGAGUAGUAUCCAUACCACUGUAAGGAUAACAAAGAGCAAAGGCAGAUUAGGUCCG